AGACUGUCAAGGUCAAGGUAGGCUUGGAAACUUGCCGCCAACCAAGACAGAGCUAUCCACAGGAAAUGUAUGAUGAUUAUUGUCAUAUUUGUAUCCUUGAUAGUUAUUGUUUGAGUAUAACUCAUCUUUAGCAUAUCACGCGGUCUCAUAAGGUUGUAAGUCAUGCAUCAUUAUGUAAACGGUGCUUUU
rnacentral:ncRNA from 1 species